UUUUUUUGAAUCUUCAAAUAGUCUUGAGAACAUUUGAAUGGACACUUAUUAAUUUAUUUCAUGGUUCAUAUUUUUAUAUGAAGGUGAAAAAGUCAAUUUUGUUGAGAGAAGUUUGUUCUUACAACUCUUUAGAAGUUUUGAGAUAAUGUGGAUAUUUUAUAUCCUAGGUUUGCAAGUACCACUAAAUCUAAUUUCAUUUAAUUUGAAUAUAUAAUUUUUUUACUUUGCUAACUCGUCUAAAUGAAUCUGUUUAGACAUUGUGAUGCAACGUAUAUUUUCAGUGCGCUGCAUCACAUUGAUCAUAGUUGCUUGCAACGAAGAGGGAGGAUUGCGCACUAUCUUUCAGUUCGAUAACUUUUGGAGCGUCUUCACCACAGCCGUUGGAUUAGAAUGGCAAAUUCAUUAAUAAGUUCCCUUCCACUUCUCUAAUUUGUUCAAAUAUUUUCAAGCUCUCUCCAACAUUUAUCUUAGUUGGAAUGCAUUGCAUAGCAUGUCAUUCAAUGUCACAUACUUCCCAAAAGCAGCUAUGAAUGAUAUAUGUGCUAUACUCGUUCUAUUACCUUACUUGUAUAACCAUUUCUCGACUCUUCCGGCUAUUGUUUGCUACGGAAUUUGAAAUUUGAAAGCAGCUAUCUUUUGUUAUGUAUAUCAUUUAUUAAAAGUAUAUUUGAAUUUAAUUAUAUUUU
rnacentral:sRNA from 1 species